UACGUAGGGGGCAAGCGUUGUCCGGAUUUACUGGGCGUAAAGAGCGUGUAGGCGGCCACGCAGGUCCGUUGUGAAAACUGGAGGCUCAACCUCCAGCUGUCGACGGAAACCGUAUGGCUAGAGUCCGGAAGAGGAGAGUGGAAUUCCUGGUGUAGCGGUGAAAUGCGCAGAUAUCAGGAAGAACACCCGUGGCUAAGGCGGCUCUCUAGUACGGUACUGACGCUGAGACGCGAAAGCGUGGGGAGCGAACAGG
rnacentral:rRNA from 1 species